rnacentral:rRNA from 1 species
AGUUUGAUCCUGGCUCAGAUUGAACGCUGGCGGCAUGCCUUACACAUGCAAGUCGAACGGCAGCACGGAGCUUGCUCUGGUGGCGAGUGGCGAACGGGUGAGUAAUAUAUCGGAACGUACCCUAGAGUGGGGGAUAACGUAGCGAAAGUUACGCUAAUACCGCAUACGAUCUAAGGAUGAAAGUGGGGGAUCGCAAGACCUCAUGCUCGUGGAGCGGCCGAUAUCUGAUUAGCUAGUUGGUAGGGUAAAAGCCUACCAAGGCAUCGAUCAGUAGCUGGUCUGAGAGGACGACCAGCCACACUGGAACUGAGACACGGUCCAGACUCCUACGGGAGGCAGCAGUGGGGAAUUUUGGACAAUGGGCGAAAGCCUGAUCCAGCAAUGCCGCGUGAGUGAAGAAGGCCUUCGGGUUGUAAAGCUCUUUUGUCAGGGAAGAAACGGUGAAAGCUAAUAUCUUUUGCUAAUGACGGUACCUGAAGAAUAAGCACCGGCUAACUACGUGCCAGCAGCCGCGGUAAUACGUAGGGUGCAAGCGUUAAUCGGAAUUACUGGGCGUAAAGCGUGCGCAGGCGGUUUUGUAAGUCUGAUGUGAAAUCCCCGGGCUCAACCUGGGAAUUGCAUUGGAGACUGCAAGGCUAGAAUCUGGCAG